AUGUCCCUCACCCCAAGCACCUGCUGGCUGCCGGAAGCAUCCCCCGAGACCUCAAGCCUGACUCCAGCUGUACCCACAGAAAGUCCAGCUCCGACAGUACCCUUGUUGCCUUUGAGCCAGACCCAAGGCAAGAGAGAGGCUUUGUCUCCCCACAGACUGCAGGACUGAGCCUGGAGAGAGAAGUCGCUUGACAGAUGCCACUUGUCAGAACAGUAUGUGAGUGUCUGGAGACAGCAUAGCUGACCCCAACCCCCCAGCACUGAGGACCCCUCCAGGCUCCUCUUUCUUGGAAGUGCCCCCAUGCCCCAUGGUUGAUGACACCACUGCCUCCUGCCUACCCAUGGGCCCAAGUUUCUGUGGCUGGUUUCAGGGCAUCUGGUCCCUGCCACUCAGCAUAGAUACACCUCACAGCUCAUGCAGAGCCCUGGUCCCUGGGGACUCUUAAGCUCCCCACAGUCCUCCAGGUCCUCCAGCUCUGUCAGAUGGAGGGCUCUCAGGGGUGUGACCUGGGCCUGGUCCCACUGAUGGCUGGCAGCAGCAUGUGCUCUGGGAAUAAAGAGCAGCCCUAGCCCCAGAGGGAUCCCCGCACCCAGGAGGCCUCCCGACACCAGCCUAAAUCCUGACAGUGGGGUCUGCCCUCUGAGAUGGGGAGCCCCUAGUCCUUUAAGGUUGGUUGCUAGGGCCUGUGCUCCAAAGCAAUGGGCAGGGGCAGCCUGCAGCUGCCCACCCAACCUAGUCUUCACACCAGGUUGCACAGGAUCUCUUCUAUCUUGAUGGAGAAGAGGGGUUCCUACCCAGGAUCAUACAACACAGCAAAUAGCAUAGAGCUCUUUCCUUUUUUUUUUUUUGGUUGGGAUCAGGGGUUGUUUCUUUGAGAUUUAAGUUUUCAUUUUUGAGGGGUAAUGACCUUCAAGUAAAACAGUAAUAGCAAGAGUGAAGGUACUUUGGAACCACUAACACCUCUGCACAGGGCAGUCAGCCAGCUCAAGUUGUUUUUCAUACAAAGGGACUUGGCAGGUGGUUUGAGUACCCGCCCCUUCACCUCACAGACAAGGCAGCUGGCCCAGUCUGGGGAGUCUGCCCAGGACAGUGGUGGAGCUGGGCCUUGAAACCCAGUCUGUACCUAAAAAACUAAGGGAAAUGGAUCAUUCUCAAAGGAGCAACAGUGACACCAUCCCUGCACUCCUGGGUCCUGGUCUUACAGUGCCCAAGGCAUGGCAUGGUGGCAGCUGGACCCUUCCCCACCAGGUAACACUGGGGCUAGAGGUGGGCUCUGUUUAGGAGGGUGGUCAGACCACACAGCCAAAUUGCUCCUCAACCCUAGACAAAGCCUUUGACCACGAGGGAGGUGCUAUUAGCUGGGCAGCCCUUUUGGGUUUCAGAGACUGGUGUUGGCUCCAGACUGGUCUCAUCUCCAUUGCCUUAAUGACAGGUGGCCCAGGAGUACCCAUUCAUAGCAGCUGUGGGUGUGGGCAUCUUCAGAUGUUCUGGUAAAAUUGUGAGAUUAGCUGUAUGAAGGAAACCAGUGGGAGGAAAGGAAGUUUUCAGGAUGGUGAGAUUUGAUUCAGACACAGUGCACGUGCUGCUAGGGCUGUCACUGGGCAGUGGCCUUCAUGGAGAGUGGUACCAGCACCUCAGUCCAUCCAGGAUAUUUAGAAACACUCAGUCUCUGGUCCCAGAGGAUGGCUUCUCAGGCCAUGCCACAAGUUAAAACGUCACCUGCCAGGAAGAUGAAUGAGAAAGCUGCCCAUUCUUAAGACCCAUCUGCCUAAGGAGGGUCACAGAGGCAGGAUGUAAGCCACACUGUUGCAUUCUUGCAUAAGUCAUGAAAAUGGGGCCGGAGGGGGAGCCUGGACAUCAGGGACUUCUGCCCACAGCACAUGGCACCCACAGCUGCCCAGCCUGUCCACAUGCUGGGGCCCAGCACAGCCCCUAAAGCCACAUGGGACAGUGGGCUUUGUUCACUAUAGCCACAGGGGCAUGAAAGGGAUCUUUUGCAUUGCAGAGAUUUUAUAUAUAUUUUGUUUGUAAUGAGCCAUUCUCAAUAAAUUCUCACUGCAAAA